GAGCACGUAGGUGGGUUUGUAAGUCAGAUGUGAAAGCCUUCUGUUCAACAGAAGAAUUGCAUCUGAAACUGCGAGUCUUGAGUGUAGGAGGGGAGAAUGGAACUUCUGGUGGAGCGGUGAAAUGCGUAGAUAUCAGAAGGAACGCCGGCGGCGAAAGCGAUUCUCUGGCCUAUUACUGACACUCAGUGUGCGAAAGCUAGGGGAGCAAACGGGAUUAGAUACCCCGGUAGUCCUAGCCGUAAACGAUGGGCACUAAGUAGAGGGGUUUU
rnacentral:rRNA from 1 species